rnacentral:rRNA from 1 species
AUUGAACGCUGGCGGCAGGCUUAAUACAUGCAAGUCGAGCGGGGGAAGGUAGCUUGCUACCGGACCUAGCGGCGGACGGGUGAGUACUGCUUAGGAAUCCGCCUAUUAGUGGGUGACAACAUCUCGAAAGGGAUGCUAAUACCGCAUACGUACUACGGGAGAAAGCAGGGGAGCUUCGGACCUUGCGCUAAUAGGUGAGCCUAAGUCGGAUUAGCUAGUCGGGGGGGUAAAGGCCUACCAAGGCGACGAUCUGUAGGGGGUCUGAGAGGAUGAUCCGCCACACUGGGACUGAGACACGGCCCAGACUCCUACGGGAGGCAGCAGUGGGGAAUAUUGGACAAUGGGGGGAACCCUGAUCCAGCCAUGCCGCGUGUGUGAAGAAGGCCUUAUGGUUGUAAAGCACUUUAAGCGAGGAGGAGGCUACUCUAGUUAAUACCUAGGGAUAGUGGACGUUACUCGCAGAAUAAGCACCGGCUAACUCUGUGCCAGCCGCCGCAGUAA